UACGUAGGGGGCUAGCGUUAUCCGGAAUUACUGGGCGUAAAGGGUGCGUAGGUGGUUUCUUAAGUCAGAGGUGAAAGGCUACGGCUCAACCGUAGUAAGCCUUUGAAACUGGGAAACUUGAGUGCAGGAGAGGAGAGUGGAAUUCCUAGUGUAGCGGUGAAAUGCGUAGAUAUUAGGAGGAACACCAGUUGCGAAGGCGGCUCUCUGGACUGUAACUGACACUGAGGCACGAGAGCGUGGGGAGCAAACAGG
rnacentral:rRNA from 1 species